UCGAGCGAAGCCUUCGGGCUUAGCGGCGGACGGGUGAGUAACGCGUGGGAACAUACCCUUUGGUACGGAAUAGCCCCGGGAAACUGGGAGUAAUACCGUAUGUGCCCCCCCAAUCAAAUUUCAUUUGAUUGAAAUAUCGAUCUUAUCGAGUUCUUGUGGAAUUUGAUGGGGGGGGAAAGAUUUAUCGCCAAAGGAUUGGCCCGCGUUGGAUUAGGUAGUUGGUGGGGUAAUGGCCUACCAAGCCGACGAUCCAUAGCUGGUUUGAGAGGAUGAACAGCCACAUUGGAACUGAGACACGGUCCAAACUCCUACGGGAGGCAGCAGUGGGGAAUUUUCCGCAAUGGGCGAAAGCCUGACGGAGCGACGCUGCGUGAAGGAUGACGGCCUGCGGGUUGUAAACUUCUUUUCUCGAAGAAGAAUAAAUGACGGUAUUCGAGGAAUAAGCAUCGGCUAACUCUGUGCCAGCAGCCGCGGUAAGACAGAGGAUGCAAGUGUUAUUCGGAUUGAUUGGGCGUAAAGCGUCUGUAGGCGGUUUGGAAAGUCUUUUGUGAAAUUCUUCAGCUCAACUGGGGGUCCGCAAAAGAAACUUCUAGGCUUGAGGGAAGUAGAGGUACAGGGAAUUUCCGGUGGAGCGGUGAAAUGCGUAGAUAUCGGAAGGAACACCAAUAUGGCGAAGGCACUGUACUGGGCUUUACCUGACGCUAAGAGACGAAAGCUAAAGGAGUGAUUAGGAUUAGAUACCCUAGUAAUUUUAGCCGUAAACGAUGGAAACUCACUGCCGAGC
rnacentral:rRNA from 1 species